rnacentral:rRNA from 1 species
GACGAACGCUGGCGGCGUGCUUAACACAUGCAAGUCGAGCGGUAAGGCCCUUUCGGGGGUACACGAGCGGCGAACGGGUGAGUAACACGUGGGUGACCUGCCCUCAGCUCUGGGAUAAGCCCGGGAAACUGGGUCUAAUACCGGAUAUGACUCCAUGACGCAUGUUGUGGGGUGGAAAGCCUUGUGCGGCUGAGGAUGGGCCCGCGGCCUAUC